GUGAGCUAUUACCUUGAUGAAGACAAAGGCUGGGCGCACAACACCGUCGAAAUGCAAAAGGCUCUGGACGCAGCCAAGAGUCGCUGCGAGCCUCGAUGCUUCCUGCUUGUAAACCCUGCCAAUCCAACGAGCACUGUAUUAUCCGAGCAUCAGUUGCAGGACAUCGUCCGCUUUUGCUAUGAAAACCAGCUGAUAAUAUUAGCCGAUGAGGUUUUCGAGCAUAAUACCUACAGCAG
rnacentral:lncRNA from 1 species